UACGUAGGGUGCAAGCGUUGUCCGGAAUUAUUGGGCGUAAAGGGCUCGUAGGCGGUCCAUCACGUCGGGAGUGAAAAGCUGGGGCUUAACCCCAGUCCUGCUUCCGAUACGGGUGGACUAGAGGUAGGCAGGGGAGAACGGAAUUCCUGGUGUAGCGGUGAAAUGCGCAGAUAUCAGGAGGAACACCGAUGGCGAAGGCGGCCCCCUGGCCGGCCCUGACACUGAGACGCGAAGGCGUGGGGAGCGAACGGG
rnacentral:rRNA from 1 species